GUGCUCGCUUCAGCAGCACAUAGUAAAAUUGGAAUGAUACAGAGAAGAUUAGCAUGGCCCCUGUGCAAGGAUAACACACAGAUUUGAGUGUUCCAUAUUAAA
ensembl:snRNA U6 U6 spliceosomal RNA